GGUACUCUUGACAAAGAAAAUGGAAGAUUAGGAGUAAGGAACCUGAGGAUCCAUAGCAAAGCUUGCUGUACAAAUCACUUUGGAGGUUCAAUUUUGGAGAAGGGGCUCUUUGGAGAAAAGUUUUGGUAGAAAAAUAGGGCCACGAGGUCCACGACCCAUGAGACCCGUGGUACCCUAAAGUGGUUCAGAGACCUUAUGGAAUUGGGGUUUG
rnacentral:lncRNA from 1 species